rnacentral:lncRNA from 1 species
UUGAAAACUUUUCUUUCUUUACGGAAUAAGAAUAGAUCCGAUACGCGCGAGAAAAUAUCGUAUCGUAUGAAAUUUCAUACGUUUAAUUGCGUAAGUCUCAAACUGUAUUACCGCGAAAUUAAUAUCGCGGAGAUAUUACAUUAAGACGCUUAACAGAAAAUAAGCAUGCCAUUUAUAUCACGGUUGAUGCGUAAUUAUGGAAUACAGUUAAAACGGAAUAAUUGUUAACAAGCCAGUUGAAAGAUAAUAUACGAGAACUUUAAUGGAUUGUAAUUAAACGCAUUUUUUUAUUUUAACUCGAAGACUUUGUACAACGUGACUUUCAAAUCUAAUCAUCGAAGGAAAUUAUUAAAUUUGCCGUAAAAUCAAAUAUUACACGAGGCUAUUGCUACUUUUAUUAAUUAAGAAUAUUAUUAAUUAAUAAUAAUUUUUAUAAAUAUAUAUUAUAAUAUUAUUAUAAUAUCUUUUUCCCGAGUGGAGGAUCUCGAAAAUGGUUUAUCUUAUCAAAAAUUAAAACGAGCACGAAACGAAUAAGAAGGAAAAUAAAAUAUAUCUUCUAAAAUGUUUUAAUAUCGUGUACAGAGUUCCAGAUUAAAAACCUGAAAUACAACCUGAAAAAUUCUAAAUAGAAAUUUCAAUUAAAUCGGAUACUUUUUAUUUAUCAACCGUUGAAUUUAUUUUCGACUCUGGAGUAGCCUUUUCACGAAUAAUAAUAUUUUAAUCGCGUGAUUAAAAUUUUUAAAUCCAACAUACCGUGAGAUAUAUCUAUGCAAAGCAAAUUCGAGACGGAGGCAGAGAAAUUUGAAUACGAUUAACGAAGCCCGAAGACAGCUCUUGAGCACGAAUUCUGCUUAGACUCGUCUUAUCUCAAACUGUUUGAAGUUAAUCGGUGGAUGCUCGGAAUAAAGUUCAUUGACGUUCAAAGGAAGCGAUAGCUGGUAUUAACAGAUUAAUUUUCGAAAUUACGAGUUUAUGAACGUAACAAAGAUCCGGUUCCAAUAAAAGAAGAAAAUAAUUUGAUCAGAUCAAACCGUAAUAAAAAGCUUUUAAAAGAGAAAAAUGCUUGGAAUCUCUGCUAAAUAAUAGGGUUGCUCAAAAUUUACAAUGGCGAAACUGGCGAAAGAGAUAAUUUCACUACUAAAGUGAAAAUGAAGGAUGAACGCCAUUUUAACGCAAUUUUCUCCACAUUGAAAGUCAAGAUCCGAUUAAACGACGCGAGGGAUAUCGAAGCUCGAAGAGGCGGGCUGGUGAGAUCGAUAUCAGGCAUCGAAAACUCGGAAUGCUUAAGUAAGGAGCUCAUUUACGUCAGUGGAGAGCCGAUGGGGCUGAAAUAUGCGACCUUGGCGAAGGGGAGGAUGGCUGAUUCCUCGCACUGAUUAAGCGCAUGCAAAACCACCCCUUCUGCGGAACGCCGUUUAUAUAUCGCGUUUGAUGCAUUUCAACGUUGUGGAAAAAUAGUUGGUUGACAGUUAUUUUUAGCAACCGAUAAUACAAUCCUAGCAAUCUUACUAUAUUUGAGUAGAAUUUUCUAAAGAUAUUUCUUUAAACGGGGAAAAGUAUCGAAGGAAAUUAAAGAACAGAGUAGAGGGAUAUCAAGAUUCAUUUCCUUUUUAAAAUAAAAUAACUUUGCUAAUUAUAACGUUUAUUUAUAUAAGUAUCUAUAAGUAUAUAUUGAUAUAUUAUAUAGAAUAUUGCGUUAUUCGUGGACAAAGAAUAAUCCUGAAAAAAGUAAAAUCCUAAAUCGAAAAAUUAUCAAGUAAAAAUGAAAUUGACCAAUUUCUAAUAUUCCCUUCUCGUUCUAUCUCAUAUUAAACAAAUCUCCACAUUUUUGUAUUUGUAUUGAUUUCUAAAAUCCUCCACAAAAUGUUCCACGAAUAUCAAUACCCUAUCACGCCAUCAAGAUCCUAUCGAUUCGACUGUCACUAAUAAAUCCUUCGAAUUAAUGGUAGUAUAAAAAGAACCAAGAGAAAAACAUUCAUCGAAAAAAAUAUUUUAUCGUGACAAGAGUUUCCUCAAAAGCACUAGGGUUUGUCCCAUUUACUUUUUCCAUUUAUUUCCCGUUUAGGCACGGUUGACAACUGCGAAAUGGAGUGCGGUUCAUUAAGAUUCUCGUGCCGCGUUUAGUUAUUUUUCACGCGGUAAAAGGAUUACAAAUCCAACGGGGGACGAGUUUUCUCUUCCGAUACUCCCCGCCUCUUUCGCCCAUUUAUUCGUUACGUUCGAAUACGGUAGCUCGACGAGAUGCAUGAACAAUAAAAAUCGAGUUUGUUUUUACGCGAUUGAAAUGUCUCGCAUUACGAUAGAAUUGAUUGUCUCUUA